rnacentral:rRNA from 1 species
GGAUUGUAGUCUGCAACCCGACUACAUGAAGCUGGAAUCGCUAGUAAUCGCGAAUCAGCAUGUCGCGGUGAAUACGUUCCCGGGUCUUGUACACACCGCCCGUCACACCAUGGGAGUUGGUAACGCCCGAAGCCAGUGACCCAACCGGAAACGGAGGGAGCUGUCGAAGGUGGGACCGAUAACUGGGGUGAAGUCGUAACAAGGUAGC